UACGGAGGGGGCGAGCGUUGUCCGAAGUUACUGGGCGUAAAGCGCGCGUAGGCGGGUGGGUAAGUCCGCUGUGAAAGCCCGAAGCUUAACUCCGGAGGGUCGGUGGAUACUGCCCAUCUUGAAGGUGCUAGGGGGAGAUGGAAUUACCGGUGUAGCGGUGAAAUGCGUAGAGAUCGGUAGGAACACCAGUGGCGAAGGCGGUCUCCUGGAGCAUACUUGACGCUGAGGCGCGAAAGCUAGGGGGAGCAAACGGG
rnacentral:rRNA from 1 species